AUUGAACGCUGGCGGCAGGCCUAACACAUGCAAGUCGAGCGAGCGGCGGACGGGUGAGUAAUGUAUGGGGAUCUGCCUGAUGGAGGGGGAUAACUACUGGAAACGGUAGCUAAUACCGCAUACCAUCGGAUGUGCCCAGAUGGGAUUAGCUAGUAGGUGGGGUAAAGGCUCACCUAGGCGACGUUCCCUAGCUGGUCUGAGAGGAUGAUCAGCCACACUGGCACUGAGACACGGUCCAGACUCCUACGGGAGGCAGCAGUGGGGAAUAUUGCACAAUGGGCGCAAGCCUGAUGCAGCCAUGCCGCGUGUAUGAAGAAGGCCUUCGGGUUGUAAAGUACUUUCAGCGGGGAGGCGUUACCCGCAGAAGAAGCACCGGCUAACUCCGUGCCAGCAGCCGCGGUAAUUC
rnacentral:rRNA from 1 species